GCAUAUUAGAAUGAUUUUUUAAGGAUCAUGUGACACUUUAGAGUGGAGUAAUGGCUGAUGGAAAUUCAGCUUUGCAUCACAGAAAUAAAUUAUAUUUUAAAGAAUAUUAAAAUAGAAACCAUUAUUUUAUAUUGUAAUAACAUUUUGCAAGAUUACUGUUUUUUUUUCUGUAUUUUUGAUCAAAUGCAGCCUUGAUGAGCAUAAGAGACUUCUUUAAAAAACAUUCAAAAACUUUUGAACGGCAGUGUAAUUGAUGCCUGAGGCUGUUCGGAAUACUAGCAAACGGAAUACUUCACACAGAACUGCAUACUAUUGUUCUUGACUAGUAUGUGGAGGAAAAGAAAUGCAGUAUGCAGUGCAGAGUAUGACAUCCAAUCAUCAUUUUGGAAAUAGUUAUUUAUAGUUCAAAUGUUAACUUUUGACAUUUCCUUAAAAUGAUUCGAUAUUAUAUUAGAAAUAGACUGAUAAGUCAAGCACAUUGCAUUGUGGGAUAUUAUAAUUCCAUGCAGUGUGCUGAUAUAAACUGCACAUUUGGUCAUCAAGGUAUUUCACGCAUACAGACAAUUCCCACAUUAGUAUGCAUAACAUAUUCUGCAGAAGUAGUAGUAUGCUAGUAUGCUAUUCCAAACAGCCUAAAAUCCCCAAAAACAAAAACCAACUGUACUUUAUUCUAACAGCUGCCAGAGAUUAUGGGAGAAGUGGUUGUAUAAUGUGACUAUUGGUCACUGCCUCAAAUCAUGCCAAUUCCUUUUGUUCUUGGUUCUGGUUGAAUGUGUGCGAGGGAUGUUUUAGCCCUUAUGACAGGAGCUUGUGUACCAAAGCAUCUAAAACAUCUUCAUCCUUGCCAUACUCGUUCAAUGUUAAACCAUAUCUCCAAGACUGUUGAUUAGGUGUAUAAAAGCCAAAUCAUUUAUUUCCAUUUCUACUGUGAGACAUUUAUUAUCCUCCUUUCCAUUGCACUGUAAAUAAAGAGAAAAGCCCUGGAUUUCUACGAGGACACUACUGUCAGCUGUAUUUCAGACUCUUAUUUUUUACUUUGGUUUUAGAGACUGUGCUUACCUGGAGAGCUGUACAAUCUGAAUGUGGGAAACCUUUGUUACUUGUUGACUGUUAUGUCCUUUAUCAACGUUGUGCACUGGUUUCUAAUCGUUUCAAAUAUAUAUGUACAGUUUUGUUUGGACGCCAACAUCAGAAUGAAGUAUGCAUUGUAACGGA
ensembl:lncRNA